CGCGUUUGUGGAUGUGCGUCUUGCGAUCAAGCUUUCCUGCGCCACAUUUCGAUGCUAAAAUUCCAUAUGUCGAUAGACUGUCUGUCAAUAAAAACGACUGACUCAAUAAAUAUGCAAAGGAAAUCAAAUUGAUGUAGGCAAUAAUUCGUGCAUGUUCAGAAUGACUGUUUGUAAAAUGUAAACUUUUAUUUUGGGCUCUAAAGCGCCUCGUUUCUAUGAGCGCCAAUGCGCAUCGGUCUGCGCAUCUCUGAUCCUUCGGAACUACAACGGUGGACGCUCGCACUGACAUCGAAAGACCUCCUCCGCAAUCCGAUGAAGGAGGCUCCGUUUAUGGCCCUACUACAUCGGCAUCCCUGACGGAGCUAUCCGCCUGUCCUGGACCAUUCCUUGCUGCCUUCAUUUCGUUCUUUUCCGGAGGACUUUAUCUUUAUAGCCUUCGUAGAUCAUUCUAAAGAACUCCGCAUCCACUCUGCUAUGCACCUUUAGACCAGAUCUAUAAUUCCCGCGAUCAAUAUCUUAUCUCCCACAAUCGCCUUGUCUAGUUCCUGCCUCGUCCUCUCAUCGAACCCCAAGAAUGCAGCCCAAUGCAGUAAUGUUGGCUGUGGUGCUUUUUGGAAACUUGAUGCUGCAUUACGUCUCGGCUCAAAACGCUGGGUUUGUGAAGUCGCCAAUGUCUGAGACUAAGCUCACGCUGGACACCUUUGAGCUGUACUGCGACGUGGUCGGUAACCCCACCCCAGAGAUCCAGUGGUGGUACGCAGAGAUCAACCGCGUCGACUCCUUCAAGCAGCUGUGGGACGGCGCCCGCAAGCGCCGCGUGUCCAUCAACACGGCCUACGGCAACAACGGGGUGAGCGUGCUGGGCAUCACGCGCCUCACGCUGGAGGACUCCGGGACCUACGAGUGCCGGGCCAGCAACGACCCGCGGCGCAACGACCUGCGCCAAAACCCCGCCAUCACCUGGAUCCGAGCCCAGGCCACCAUUUCGGUGCUGCAGAAGCCCAAGAUCAAUGCGUCAGAUCAGAUCAUCCUGCCCUCGGAAACCAAAGGGCCCCCUGUCACCCUGCAGUGUAACCUGACCAACGCCCACGAAGGCCAACAAGAGAGCUUCUGGAUGAAGAAUGGAGUGGAGAUCGCAGACACACGGAACGAGCAGAAGCACACAGAGUACAUAAUCAAAAAACCAAGGUCAGACGACGCAGGGGAGUACAUGUGUGUUUACACGUUUGAAAUGGCUCCCAACGCCAACGCCACUAUUGAGGUAAAAGCGGCACCUGAGAUCACGGGCCAUAAGCGCAGUGACAAUAAGAACGAGGGACAGAGUGCUCUGUUGUACUGUAAGUCUGUGGGCUACCCCUUUCCCGUGUGGACGUGGCGUAAACUGGAUGGCUCAAACUACAUGGAAAUCGACAACUCCUCUGGCCGCUUCUUCAUCACCAACAAAGACAACUACACAGAGCUGAACAUCGUCAACCUGAACCGCACCUCGGACCCUGGUGAAUACCAGUGCAACGCUACCAACCACAUUGGCACCAAGUCCAUGUCGUCCAUCCUGCGGGUGCGCAGCCACCUGGCACCCCUCUGGCCCUUCCUGGGGGUGCUAGCGGAGAUCAUCAUCCUGGUGGUCAUCAUCGUAGUGUAUGAAAAACGCAAGAGGCCAGACGAUGUGUUGGACGAUGAUGAGCCAGCCGCACCAACGAAAACAAAUUCGACAAACAACCACAAAGACAAAAACGUGCGCCAGAGGAAUACGAAAUGAGAAGCUACUCGUUGAAGUGAGUAUUCCGGCCUUUACGAAAUGAGAAGCUACUCGUUGAAAUGACUAACUGCAUAUCUUGACCACACGAAGGUAUCUGAGGAGGGAGCUCCAGGCAAUUUUUAAUGAAGCAUAUCUCGUCUCUCUCUUAUGAGAAAAAAACAAUAACAGCGUAACACUGGCAGAAAAGAACAAGAUGGCUGUCUUAAGCAUGCCUUAUUCAGUCUUACAUGAACAGUCCUGGACGGAGAGAUGACUAAUUCCAUCACGAAAGGUGUGCACAUCUUUUUUUGUGUGCCGUUUGAUGUCGCUUUUAUUCAUUUUAUCAUGUCCUCCAACCAGAGGUGAUCCCUUUUGUAUUACAUAUCAUGUAAAACGCAUGCAAAUUAUUACGCAAUAGGAUGCCCAGAAUAGACUUUGUUGUUUUCCCUCAUGUCUGUGUGGCUAUUUUGCAUCCAAAGGAAUUAUGUUUUUUUAUGAAAUUGUCCUGAACUGAAAAAUACUGUUAUAUUCUUAAAUAACUUUGUACAGGUGAUUCAUUGUCAUUAAACUAUGUUUGAUUUAGUGAAAGGAAAGUCCACUCUUAACAGCCAUUAUAGUGAAAAUGUGAUGCAAGGGAUUCAAUGUCUGGCAGUAUUUACUUGAAAAUGACUACUAUAUAUCUAUCUAGUUAUAAAUAAAAUGACAAUUAAGUGUUUAUUUUUCAGAGUAACUUAGGAUGUCUUGUAUAUGUUGAGGUUCGAGUGUUCAAACAAUAGCAAAUACUGUAUGUAAAGAAAAAAAUACAUUUUAUAUUUCCCAACUUAAUUCAUUCAUUUUUAUUUUUCUGAAAUUGUACAGCAUGGCUAUUAUACUAUGCAAUAUGUAUUCAUAUAUAGAUAUAUUGGGGGUAGUUUGUUUUUCUCAGUGAAGCUUUAAUAUUGUGGCGAUCACUUGGAAGCUGGUAUAGCAAAAUGCACUGCUGUAGCUGCAUGACUCCUGUCCUAUAAAUACAGUGUAUCCAUGUGUAUUGCAGUGCAAAUGGAACGACAUUAGGAUGGGAAUGGAAGGAGCUACGGUAUCUCUAGCCACAAUAAAACAUCAGACCAAUAACAUACGAGACCAAUACAUUUUUGAAAAUAAAAGGCUCCAAAAUA